UACAGAGUUGCAAAACUCCCUAAACCAUUGUGAACGUUACCUAUACCGUUGCUUCGGCGGGCGGCCCCGGGGUUUACCCCCCGGGCGCCCCUGGGCCCCACCGCGGGCGCCCGCCGGAGGUCACCAAACUCUUGAUAAUUUAUGGCCUCUCUGAGUCUUCUGUACUGAAUAAGUCAAAACUUUCAACAACGGAUCUCUUGGUUCUGGCAUCGAUGAAGAACGCAGCGAAAUGCGAUAAGUAAUGUGAAUUGCAGAAUUCAGUGAAUCAUCGAAUCUUUGAACGCACAUUGCGCCCGCCAGUAUUCUGGCGGGCAUGCCUGUUCGAGCGUCAUUUCAACCAUCAAGCCCCCGGGCUUGUGUUGGGGACCUGCGGCUGCCGCAGGCCCUGAAAAGCAGUGGCGGGCUCGCUGUCGCACCGAGCGUAGUAGCAUACAUCUCGCUCUGGUCGCGCCGCGGGUUCCGGCCGUUAAACCACCUUUUAACCCAAGGUUGACCUCGGAUCAGGUAGGAAGACCCGCUGAACUUAAGCAUAUCAAUAAGCGGAGGAAAAGAAACCAACAGGGAUUGCCCUAGUAACGGCGAGUGAAGCGGCAACAGCUCAAAUUUGAAAUCUGGCUUCGGCCCGAGUUGUAAUUUGCAGAGGAAGCUUUAGGCGCGGCACCUUCUGAGUCCCCUGGAACGGGGCGCCAUAGAGGGUGAGAGCCCCGUAUAGUUGGAUGCCUAGCCUGUGUAAGCUCCUUCGACGA
rnacentral:rRNA from 1 species